rnacentral:rRNA from 1 species
UACGUAGGUGACAAGCGUUGUCCGGAUUUACUGGGCGUAAAGAGCGCGCAGGCGGUCGUUCAAGUCGAGUGUGAAAGCCCCCGGCUCAACUGGGGAGGGUCAUUCGAUACUGAUCGACUCGAAGGCAGGAGAGGGUAGUGGAAUUCCUGGUGUAGCGGUGAAAUGCGUAGAUAUCAGGAGGAAUACCAGUGGCGAAGGCGGCUUUCUGGGCCUACCCUGACGCUGAGGAGCGAAAGCGUGGGGAGCAAACCGG